AGAGUUUGAUCAUGGCUCAGAUUGAACGCUGGCGGCGUGCCUAACACAUGCAAGUCGAGCGGUAACAGGUGUAGCAAUACAUGCUGACGAGCGGCGAACGGGUGAGUAAUGCUUUGGAAUCUUCCCAGUAGUGGGGAAUAACCAGUCGAAAGAUUGGCUAAUACCGCAUACGUCUGUAAAGGGAAAGCGGGGGCUCGUAAGACCUCGCGCUAUUGGAUGAGCCAAAGUCGGAUUAGCUAGUUGGUGGGGUAAUGGCCUACCAAGGCGACAAUCCGUAGCUGGUCUGAGAGGACGACCAGCCACACCGGAACUGAGACACGGUCCGGACUCCUACGGGAGGCAGCAGUGGGGAAUAUUGGACAAUGGGGGAAACCCUGAUCCAGCGACGCCGCGUGUGUGAAGAAGGCCUGCGGGUUGUAAAGCACUUUUAGUGGGGACAAAAAGCUACGGACUAAUACUCUGUGGUCUUGAUUUAACCCAAAGAAAAAGCACCGGCUAACUCUGUGCCAGCAGCCGCGGUAAUACAGAGGGUGCGAGCGUUAAUCGGAAUUACUGGGCGUAAAGCGCGCGUAGACGGUUUUGUAAGUCAGAUGUGAAAUCCCUGGGCUCAACCUGGGAACUGCAUUCGAGACUGCAUGGCUAGAGUAUGGAAGAGGGAAGUGGAAUUUCCGGUGUAGCGGUGAAAUGCGUAGAUAUCGGAAGGAACACCAGUGGCGAAAGCGACUUCCUGGUCCAAUACUGACGUUCAUGUGCGAAAGCGUGGGGAGCAAACAGGAUUAGAUACCCCGGUAGUCC
rnacentral:rRNA from 1 species